rnacentral:tRNA from 1 species
GGGCGCUUAGCUCAGCGGUAGAGCGGCCGCCUUACAAGCGGUAGGUCGGCGGUUCGAUCCCGUCAGCGCCCACCA